rnacentral:rRNA from 1 species
AAAGGAAUAGACGGGGACCCGCACAAGCGGUGGAGCAUGUGGUUUAAUUCGAAGAUACGCGAAGAACCUUACCUGGGCUUGAUAUCCUAAGAACCUUGUAGAGAUACGAGGGUGCUAGCUUGCUAGAACUUAGUGACAGGUGCUGCACGGCUGUCGUCAGCUCGUGUCGUGAGAUGUUCGGUUAAGUCCGGCAACGAGCGCAACCCACGUAUUUAGUUGCUAACAGUUCGGCUGAGCACUCUAAAUAUACUGCCUUCGUAAGGAGGAGGAAGGUGUGGACGACGUCAAGUCAUCAUGGCCCUUAUGCCCAGGGCGACACACGUGCUACAAUGGCAUAUACAAUGAGACGCAAUAUCGCGAGAUGGAGCAAAUCUAUAAAAUAUGUCCCAGUUCGGAUUGUUCUCUGCAACUCGAGAGCAUGAAGCCGGAAUCGCUAGUAAUCGUAGAUCAGCCAUGCUACGGUGAAUACGUUCCCGGGUCUUGUACACACCGCCCGU